UAGACCCUAGUAAUAAUAAGCAUUACACUGCCUUGUCAAGGCAGAGUUAUGGGAUAAACCCCCAUGUGUCUUG
rnacentral:tRNA from 1 species